UGCGGCCUCCUGGUCACCAGUCACCGAGAGAGGGACCCCUGGACCGCCUAGGUGGUGGUGUUUGCCGUAGGCCAUAGGGAUCCAGCCCCCUCCGGCAGUCCCAUGGGGACGCGGCCUUCCCACCCGGGCGGAAAGGCGCUUCCCGCCCGCCCUGCGGUAAUCCCGGAAGCCGUGAUCUGUUAAUCUAAAAUUUCUGUUGCUUUGGCUACUGAUGGAAAACUGUUGACGACCUUACGGAGCAGCAGCCUCCUUUUGGCUCAUCCUGGACGACGUCUCCUCGACACAUCUGACCUUCGGGAAGGAGUUCACAGAAGCAGUGGAAGCCAAACACGUGGCUCAGCAGGAAGCAGAGAGGGCCAGAUUUGUGGUGCAAAAGGCU